GACGUAGGGUGCAAGCGUUGUCCGGAUUUACUGGGCGUAAAGAGCGCGUAGGCGGUUCAUUAAGUGUGAAGCUAAAUCUCUUGGCUCAACCAAGAAACUAUUUCGCAUACUGAUGGGCUGGAGUGAUGCAGAGGUGGAUAGAAUUCCCGGUGUAGCGGUGAGAUGCGUAGAUAUCGGGAGGAACACCUGUGGCGAAAGCGGCUCACUGGACCACAACUGACGCUGAGGCGCGAAAGCUAGGGGAGCAAACAGG
rnacentral:rRNA from 1 species